rnacentral:lncRNA from 1 species
AUUUUCCUUCUGGAAAAUAGCUCAGUGUUUAAAAUUUACAUGAACUUAAAAGGUUAAUCUUUUUAAAAAAAAGUUUGAGGAGCAAUCAAUUCUGAUUUUGUCUUAUGGAUAGAAAUAGAAUUAGCCAUUUUCCUCAAGAAAAGUGAUUCUUCUGAAUCUUAGCUCUUCAGUAAUGAGAACUGGACUGUUUCCACUUGACCCUCUAUUUCCUGUUAGUGGGAAACCGCUUCCCAGAGGUGCUGUGUGAAAGAUUGCUGGGGAAAGGGUUUCUAGAUCCCAGCAUAACAAGUUCAAAAGAGUCCAGCGAUAUUGUCAUUUAGAAUAAUGGUCUUCAUUAAGUACUAGUUUUCAUAAUCCUGAAGCUUCAUUUUCACCAAUUUGAAAGGCAGCUAGGGAGGAGAAGACUAUGCAGGGAAGGAGGAAAACUCUGGAGUGCAUCACAGAGACCUUGAGUGAGUUAAGGCAGGGAAGAAGCAGAUUUGCUAUCCACUGAAUGAAAAUAAAAAGAAUUCCAUUGUCCAAGGUCAGAGCAAGAACACAAAGGUUUUAGUUUACUUAGUUAAUUCCUUAGGUUUGGACAUUACAGGAGACAUGGGGGUGACCAUAGCAAUUUAGCUGAUAAAUGUAUCAGAAACUCAUCAUUUUCUGUCCCCUCCUAUCUUAGGCUGACCGGUUCCCUGAUGUGUUACCUGCUUCUGCUACUGAUCCAAACUGCAGAACUUCUCAUUCAUCCCCAAGGCCUCCAGGCAGUAUCCAAUGGGGAAUCAGCUCUAAAAGGAACCAGACCAACGUUUUCCAGCCCCUUCAUUCUGCUUCCCUCUGUGUGAGGAAAGGAUAGAAAUGUUCAGGACAUCAUCAUACAGGCUCCUCAUCUACAAAGUUCCAGUAGCAGUGACGCCUACACGGAAGACUUGGAACUGCAAACAGGCUGGGGUCACCUCAGUGACAUCUGACGCUGUCCAACCAGAAGUUCGAUUUUUGUUCUGGGGGUGAAGGAGGAAACAGACUGUACUAAAGGAC